UCCGGGAUGGUGUAAUGGUAACACGGAUGCCUCUGGAGCAUUAAUUCUAGGUUCGAGUCCUAGUCCCGGAACCA
rnacentral:tRNA from 3 species